UCCAAACAAAAAAUGUGUGUCUUUUGAUGAUGUCUUGAGCAUUGUCCACGAGUCACAGUUUAUCCUGAGAUUUUGCUUUUCUAAUGUCACUUGCACACAUAUUUAUCACUCUUUAUAUUCAUUAUUUAACUUAUGGCCAUGUUCUUUUUUUUAAUUUUUAUUUUAUUUAUUUAUUUUUUUUCAGAGUAGCAAAAAUGUUUAAUUUUACAAUGCCAACUGUGGGCAAGGAUGCGAAGCCACCACCACUCAUACAUUCAGAGAUGGGGUUUCACCAUGUUGGCCAGGCUGGUCUCGAAUUUCUGAUGUCGUGAUUCACCCGCCUCAGCCACCAAACUGCUGGGAUUACAAGCGCAGACAUGUGUGCCCUGGAGGGAAGAAAGUAGAGGACCAGC
rnacentral:lncRNA from 13 species